rnacentral:rRNA from 1 species
UACGUAGGGGGCAAGCGUUGUCCGGAUUUACUGGGCGUAAAGAGCGCGUAGGCGGAACGUUAAGUCCGAUCUGAAAGCCCCCGGCUCAACCGGGGAGGGUGGUUGGAAACUGGCGUUCUUGAGGGCGAUAGAGGAAGGUGAAAUUCCUGGUGUAGCGGUGAAAUGCGUAGAGAUCAGGAGGAACACCAGUGGCGAAGGCGGCCUUCUGGGUCGACCCUGACGCUGAGGCGCGAAAGCGUGGGGAGCGAACGGG